AAGCGGCGGCACGGAGACAGCGCUGGACGAAGUGGCCAAGCGCCGACGCCUCGGCCACUGGCACAACGGCGUCGCGGCGAUGGAGAUGGUGCCGUUCCCGCUCCAGCACCAGCAGCCGGCGGUGAAGUAGCCGGCGGCGCCGACCGGGGGCCGACCAGUGGCUGUGCGCGCAGGGCCAGUGUGAGCGCGGCUGAGGGCGCGGCGCAGGACGUCCGCGGCGUGCGGCGCCGCCGGCACCGGACGCGGGACAGAGCGCUCGCGCGCCCGGGCGGCCGAGGCGCCCGCCGCUACGCCCACUCUUCUGUGAUUAUCCCUUACCUUGCGUUCACAUGUGAUGUUAUAGUGGCUUUCAUAAUCGGAGGGCGGAGUGGAGCGGAGCUUGGCCGGUGUGGAGCUAGCUUUAAAUGGUUUCACGUUGUGUUUGUGGUUCCGUUUUGUUACUGGCGGCUGCAGGGUGUGGUGUUCGCUCUCAGGCCGAACCAGCCACUUGUUUGGUUAUUUUAAACCUUAUUGUUAUCCCAUGGUGUAAUGAACGUAUAUAAACGAGGGCCUGUUGUCGGCUAAAUAUAGACCCAAAGUCAUUUAUCAGA